rfam:Ictidomys tridecemlineatus contig029720, whole genome shotgun sequence.
GGGGAUGUGGCUCAAGGGGUAGGGCACUUGCCUGGCAUGCAUGCGGCCUGAAUUCGAUCCUCAGCACCA